AGUUGUUUGUCAAUUUGUUUUGUAGCUUUUACUGGAUAUAAUAUGAGGAGUUUGACACCCCUGCUUUACUCCAUUCGAAAAUAUCAACAAAGAAUUGUGAAUUGAGGAAUUUCAUUUCAAUAAUGUGUCAUUCUUUCUCGCUGACUUGACACAAACACACAGUAAAAUGCUCGUAUGCGGUUCUGGUCUAAGGAAGCAGUAAAGCCACUGGGUAUCCCACCAGGUUCUCUACUUCUCCCCCUUGAUCUUUUGCAUUUGCCUCCAGGGCCACCAGGCACAGUGGAGCUGUGUAUGCACACUGGAGCCAUAAAAUCAUUUUGCACGCAUUUUAAUGGAUGCCCAAUUACUGUAGCUUUAUUCAUGUCAAAGAGAAAUAGAGGGGCUUUCCCAGAAUUUGUUUCUGCUUCAAGAGGCAGAUUUGAAAAAGUAUAUGAAAGUGAAUGCGAUCAAUAUACCUGGUCAUUUAUUGAUGAAAAUCUCGCCUUGGCCAGUUGUUGUGUCGACACUGGUGUUGAACGACAUAUUUAAGCUGACCCGGAAUGAAGGUAACACCUGCUUUGGAGUAAAGUUAUAGUGAUUUAGAAAGCUUUUUUUCCUGUAAUAGAAGGCAACCAGUGGUCAUGGUAAUAGUUGCUUCAGCGUCUCUUUCGGUGUGCAACUAAAUGAAAAGGCUUCUUGGAGCUUCUCAACACCUGCUAGCAAACUCCAAGUAUGUUAAAAGCAGUUCACGGAUUGGUUGUUCUGAAAGAAUAUUAUUAACCAAUAAAUAAAUUAAAAGAAAAUCUCAUCUCAUUAGUCUUAAAUCAUUUGUUUUGGUAAAACCUAUUUUUUAUUUAAUAGUCCUUUGUAGAUUCUAUAACGGAGAGAAAAAGAAACAUGAGCAUUGAAAAGGGGAAAAAGUUCAGCCUUUCUAAGGACGACUUCCAAAAAACGCACUCUCUAAUUUACUGUGUAUUUAUAGACUCAGUGGCCUGAAUGGUCUGAAUGCCACAUUGGAUGGAGAAAAACGGAGAGGCGUGAUUACACACCACACGUCUCAGGCUUUUUCCUCCCUUCCUGUAGCUCAACCUUCAAUUUUUUUUUUUUUUGUACCAGGGAUUACAUUUUUGAUAAACUAUCAUAUCAA